rnacentral:rRNA from 1 species
UGGGGAAUAUUGCACAAUGGGCGAAAGCCUGAUGCAGCAACGCCGCGUGAGGGACGACGGCCUUCGGGUUGUAAACCUCUUUUAGCAAGGAAGAAGCGAAAGUGACGGUACUUGCAGAAAAAGCGCCGGCUAACUACGUGCCAGCAGCCGCGGUAAUACGUAGGGCGCAAGCGUUAUCCGGAAUUAUUGGGCGUAAAGAGCUCGUAGGCGGUUUGUCGCGUCUGCUGUGAAAACCCGAGGCUCAACCUCGGGCCUGCAGUGGGUACGGGCAGACUAGAGUGCGGUAGGGGAGAUUGGAACUCCUGGUGUAGCGGUGGAAUGCGCAGAUAUCAGGAAGAACACCGAUGGCGAAGGCAGGUCUCUGGGCCGUAACUGACGCUGAGGAGCGAAAGGGUGGGGAGCAAACAGGCUUAGAUACCCUGGUAGUCCACCCCGUAAACGUUGGGAACUAGUUGUGGGGUCCAUUCCACGGAUUCCGUGACGCAGCUAACGCAUUAAGUUCCCCGCCUGGGGAGUACGGCCGCAAGGCUAAAACUCAAAGGAAUUGACGGGGUCAUGCUGUUUCCU